rnacentral:rRNA from 1 species
GAUGAACGCUGGCGGCGUGCUUAACACAUGCAAGUCGAACGGAAAGGCCCAAGCUUGCUUGGGUACUCGAGUGGCGAACGGGUGAGUAACACGUGGGUGAUCUGCCCUGCACUUCGGUAUAAGCCUGGGAAACUGGGUCUAAUACCGGAUAGGACGAUGGUUUGGAUGCCAUUGUGGAAAGUUUUUUCGGUGUGGGAUGAGCUCGCGGCCUAUCAGCUUGUUGGUGGGGUAAUGGCCUACCAAGGCGUCGACGGGUAGCCGGCCUGAGAGGGUGUACGGCCACAUUGGGACUGAGAUACGGCCCAGACUCCUACGGGAGGCAGCAGUGGGGAAUAUUGCACAAUGGGCGCAAGCCUGAUGCAGCGACGCCGCGUGGGGGAUGACGGCCUUCGGGUUGUAAACUCCUUUCGCUAGGGACGAAGCGUUUUUGUGACGGUACCUGGAGAAGAAGCACCGGCUAACUACGUG